rnacentral:rRNA from 1 species
GAUGAACGCUGGCGGCGUGCCUAAUACAUGCAAGUCGAGCGAACGGACGAGAAGCUUGCUUCUCUGAUGUUAGCGGCGGACGGGUGAGUAACACGUGGAUAACCUACCUAUAAGACUGGGAUAACUUCGGGAAACCGGAGCUAAUACCGGAUAAUAUUUUGAACCGCAUGGUUCAAAAGUGAAAGACGGUCUUGCUGUCACUUAUAGAUGGAUCCGCGCUGCAUUAGCUAGUUGGUAAGGUAACGGCUUACCAAGGCAACGAUGCAUAGCCGACCUGAGAGGGUGAUCGGCCACACUGGAACUGAGACACGGUCCAGACUCCUACGGGAGGCAGCAGUAGGGAAUCUUCCGCAAUGGGCGAAAGCCUGACGGAGCAACGCCGCGUGAGUGAUGAAGGUCUUCGGGUCGUAAAACUCUGUUAUUAGGGAAGAACAUAUGUGUAAGUAACUGUGCACAUCUUGACGGUACCUAAUCAGAAAGCCACGGCUAACUACGUG